GACGUAGGGCGCGAGCGUGUCCGGAAUUAUUGGGCGUAAAGAGCUCGUAGGCGGUUUGUCGCGUCUGCUGUGAAAACCUAAGGCUCAACCUUGGGCUUGCAGUGGGUACGGGCAGACUAGAGUGCGGUAGGGGUGACUGGAAUUCCUGGUGUAGCGGUGGAAUGCGCAGAUAUCAGGAGGAACACCGAUGGCGAAGGCAGGUCACUGGGCCGCAACUGACGCUGGAGGAGCGGAAAGCAUGGGGAGCGAACAGG
rnacentral:rRNA from 1 species